rnacentral:lncRNA from 1 species
UUUCCCGAGGGCGCGGGGCCCUAUGUAGACUUGGAUGAGGGAAAGUUGAACCAGGAGCCCUCGAAAGAUGAGGCCCAGGCAGAAAAAGGCCAGAGCCAGCCGUCCAGUGUGCUGCAACCACAGGCUGGAGGUAGCACCGGGCUCCUGAUGGACUUGGCAGCCAAUGAAAAGGCAGUUCAUGCGGACUUUUUUAACGAUUUUGAAGAUCUCUUUGAUGAUGAUGAUGUCCAGUGAGGCCGUCGGGUCAUAUAUGCUCCA